rnacentral:rRNA from 1 species
GAUGAACGCUGGCGGCGUGCCUAAUACAUGCAAGUCGAGCGAACAGAUGAGGAGCUUGCUCCUCUGACGUUAGCGGCGGACGGGUGAGUAACACGUGGAUAACCUACCUAUAAGACUGGGAUAACUUCGGGAAACCGGAGCUAAUACCGGAUAAUAUAUUGAACCGCAUGGUUCAAUAGUGAAAGACGGUUUUGCUGUCACUUAUAGAUGGAUCCGCGCCGCAUUAGCUAGUUGGUAAGGUAACGGCUUACCAAGGCAACGAUGCGUAGCCGACCUGAGAGGGUGAUCGGCCACACUGGAACUGAGACACGGUCCAGACUCCUACGGGAGGCAGCAGUAGGGAAUCUUCCGCAAUGGGCGAAAGCCUGACGGAGCAACGCCGCGUGAGUGGUGAAGGUCUUCGGAUCGUAAAACUCUGUUAUUAGGGAAGAACAAAUGUGUAAGUAACUAUGCACGUCUUGACGGUACCUAACCAGAAAGCCACGGCUAACUACGUG